CUGAGGUCCCUGGAAGGGAAGCUGCGUGCCCGUCCCGUGUGCGGCACUGGUGACGUGGUGGCAUCUCAGGCCAAAAAGGCCGAAUUGCAAAGGAAGUCCUGCCGGUACGCAGACAGCCUCUAAAGACACGGACCGUUCAUUGACUGUCACAACAUCGGGCUGAUUUCCGAUUUUUCUGCAGAAAGCACCGCAGGGGAAGAGACUGGCACAGCUCUGCAGGGGCAGCAGCCGUGCCCCCCUGGCUUCAGACCAGCACACAGCGGAGAGCACGCUGCCCGGGAGGGUCAGAGCAGUGCCGUGACCUCAGAUUUGAGGACACUUGGGACAGAAGCUGGUCACUUUGCUUCAGCAGAGACCGGGCGAACCGAGCCUUUCCCUCAAGGUCGUUUGAAGUGCACGGUGUCCUCCUGCGUUCCCUCCGGAGCUGGCCCCCAGGACGGCAGCCUGAAGAGGGACCGGCCUCUAGCACAGCAGGGAGGAGCGUCACACAGAGCAGUGGACACCGUCGAACGCUUGCGUCCCCCGAAGGCCUGUGGUCUAGACCGUGGCAGUCCCUUCUGUGACCUCCCUGCCCUUCCUGGGGAUGGAGGCUGAGCCCCGGACGCCCGGCUCAGCCGUGGCCCCCGAGACACCUCCGCAGGGAACUCACGGGGCGCCCGGGAUCCCCGCGUCUGUGAGGUUCUCACGGAGCCUUCAAGUCCGCAGGGAGCAGCGAGGCCGGUCGUCCCGGGGCCCUGGCGGUGAUGCCAGCCCGCACCGGCCCGCUUCGCCUACAGCCCACCCAUGUCCUCACUGCGUGUUUUAAGGCAGUCCCAGACAUGAUAUUGUUUUAUCCCGAACGCUUCAGAAAGUCUUCAUAAAAGAGAAGCAGCACAACUCUGUAUUUGUGCCCCGAGGAACGUGGACCGGUCAGUGCCCCCUCGACGUCACGCUCCUCUGUAAGUCGCUGUGAGGGCCUCCGAGUCUGUUUGAUCUUUCCGGCUCCCUUCCCUGCCCAUUCUUGGUGAUUUCUUUGUCUGCGGUGGGUGCGUCGGGUGGGAGCAGGCCCUCCCUCGGCUCUGCACUCCCUCCCCCUCCCCGCUGGGCCCAGGCUGCAGGCCUCUCCUCGCCCUCCCCCUGCGCGGCACUCCCCCCACCUCCACCCUCCCAGACCUGGGGUUCCGGCCUCUGCAGCUGCUGGCCUGGAGC